rnacentral:rRNA from 1 species
UACGGGGGGAGCAAGCGUUGUUCGGAUUUACUGGGCGUAAAGGGCGCGUAGGCGGUCAGCACAAGUCAGUUGUGAAAUCUCCGGGCUUAACUCGGAAAGGUCAGCCGAUACUGCGGGGCUAGAGUGCAGAAGGGGCAACUGGAAUUCUCGGUGUAGCGGUGAAAUGCGUAGAUAUCGAGAGGAACACCUGCGGCGAAGGCGGGUUGCUGGGCUGACACUGACGCUGAAGCGCGAAAGCUAGGGGAGCGAACGGG